AGUGAACGCUGGCGGUAGGCCUAACACAUGCAAGUCGAACGGCAGCACAGGAGAGCUUGCUCUCUGGGUGGCGAGUGGCGGCCGGGUGAGGAAUACAUCGGAAUCUACGCUGUCGUGGGGGAUAACGGAGGGACACUUACGCUAAUACCGCAUACGACCUACGGGUGAAAGCAGGGGACCUUCUGGCCUUGCGCGAUUGAAUGAGCCGAUGUCGGAUUAGCUAGUUGGCGGGGUAAAGGCCCACCAAGGCGACGAUCCGUAGCUGGUCUGAGAGGAUGAUCAGCCACCCUGGAACUGAGACACGGUCCAGACUCCAACGGGAGGCAGCAGUGGGGAAUAUUGGACAAUGGGCGCAAGCCUGAUCCAGCCAUACCGCGUGGGUGAAGAAGGCCUUCGGGUUGUAAAGCCCUUUUGUUGGGAAAGAAAUCCAGCUGGCUAAUACCCGGUUGGGAUGACGGUACCCAAAGAAUAAGCACCGGCUAACUUCGUGCCAGCCGCCGCGGUAA
rnacentral:rRNA from 1 species